GGAGUCUGGGCCGUGUCUCAGUCCUAAUGUGGCCGAUCACUCUCUCAAGUCGGCUACUGAUCGUUGCUUUGGUAGGCCGUUACCCUGCCAACUGGCUAAUCAGACGCGGGUCCAUCUUGUACCACCGGAGUUUUUCACACUGUACCAUGCAGUACUGUGCGCUUAUGCGGUAUUAGCAGUCGUUUCCAACUGUUGUCCCCCGGUGUAAGGCAGGUUACCCACGCGUUACUCACCCGUCCGCCACUAAGAGAUCCUCCGAAGAAAACCUCUCCGUUCGACUUGCAUGUGUUAGGCACGCCGCCAGCGUUCAUC
rnacentral:rRNA from 1 species